rnacentral:rRNA from 1 species
UACCAGCUCUUCGAGUGGUGUGGAUGUUUAUUGGGCCUAGAGCAUCCGUAGCUGGCUGGGCAAGUCCCCUGUUAAAUCCACCGAUUUAAUCGUUGGAGUGCGGGGGAUACUGUUCGGCUAGGGGACGGGAGAGGCAGACGGUAUUUUCGGGGUAGGGGUGAAAUCCUAUAAUCCCGGGAAGACCACCAGUGGCGAAGGCUGUCUGCUAGAACGCGCCCGACGGUGAGGGAUGAAAGCUGGGGGAGCGAACCGGAUUAGAUACCCGGGUAGUCCCAGCUGUAAACGAUGCAGGCUAGGUGUUUGGGCGGCCACGUGCCGCUCUAGUGCCGCAGGGAAGCCGUUAAGCCUGCCGCCUGGGGAGUACGGCCGCAAGGCUGAAACUUAAAGGAGUUGGCGGGGGAGCACCACAAGGGGUGAAGCUUGCGGUUU